AUAAUUGAUAUUUUAGUUAAUUCAAUAUUUAAAUUUAAAUUAAUUAAGUAAUUAGAAAUUUCUACUGGGUAGCUUGAGCAACUUGUGGUUGUGGCUAACGGUUUAUUUCGUAAGGAUAUUUUCUCUUAUUUCUGUUGCUUUCAAGAAAGAAAAAGAUCAAUGUACCAACGCUAGCUAUAAACUGAGACUCGCAUACACCCAGGUCACUCAAGAAAACAAACGAGAAAAAAGGCUUCUCCUUUAUAGCAAAACUUCAUGGCUCAAUUUACUGCACAAGGGCGCAUGAAACUGUUAUUUAAUUGUGAUGGAGUUCAGCUUAAGCUUCUUCGCAAUGGCUUCGCUGGUGGGUUAAACUCAUUUCAGCUCCAGAAGAAAACACUCGAGUACAUUGGUUCAUGUACAAGGCUCUAUUAUUCUCUCAGCAAAAAAUCCAGGCAUUUUAAUGCGAGGGCAAGUCUCAAGGCAAGGGAAGAUGGUGAUAGUGAUGAGAGUGAAGAUUUUGACAGUGAGUUUGAGACAGAUGAUUUGGCUUCCUUUAGAGGUCUGGUCUUGGAUAUAUCUUACAGGCCAGUUAAUGUUGUCUGCUGGAAGAGAGCUAUAUGUUUGGAAUUCAUGGAGAAGGCUGACGUACUAGAAUAUUAUGAUCAGACUGUAAUUUCUCCAAGUGGAUCCUUCUACAUACCAGCUGUAUUAAGGGUUCCACAUCUUCUGCAGGUUGUUAAGAGAAGAAGAAUAAGAAGUAAUCUUAGUCGUAAGAAUAUAUUAUUUCGGGACAACUAUACUUGUCAGUACUGCUCUUCACGGGAGAACUUGACCAUUGACCAUGUUCUACCAACUGCACAAGGAGGAGAAUGGACAUGGGAAAAUCUGGUUAGUUUUUUUAUUAUUAUUACAAAUUCAGUGAUAAUAUGUUUUCUUGUUAAAGGAAAACAACAAAACCAUUUGAAAGAAGAAACAAGGUCAGAGAAAUAGGCAGGAGAUUUUCCAUGGUGCCAUAAAACAUAGGAAAUAGAAUACAAAUUAGAAACUAGGUUACUGCUUGUGCCAAAUGCAACUCAAGGAAAGGUCAGAAAACUAUAGAAGAGGCAAAUAUGAAGCUGAUUAAGCUCCCCAAGGCCCCAAAAGACUUCGAAAUACUCGCCAUACCACUGACAAGUGUGGCAAUAAAGAUGCUGAGGAUGACAAAAGGAACGCCUGAAGAGUGGCGUCAAUAUUUGGCAACGCCAUCCUCCCAGCCAUGACAUCAAUCCUUUGGUUAGCUAUACAUUCUGGUGAUUUAUACAUAUAAUUUCUCUCCAGUUCUUCUAAAAGCACAUUAACCUGUAUGUAUUCAAGAUGCAAAUGCAACUUUUGUACAUUUUCUUUCAUUUUCUUUUUGAAUAGAUCAACUCGUAUAUACAGAACAUCUUCCUAAUGUAGCAUCCUUGCAUUGUAU